AUUGAACGCUGGCGGCAGGCUUAACACAUGCAAGUCGAGCGAGCGGCGGACGGGUGAGUAAUGUAUGGGGACUGCCCGAUAGAGGGGGAUAACUACUGGAAACGGUGGCUAAUACCGCAUACUAUCGGAUAACCCAUAUGGGAUUAGCUAGUGGGUGGGGUAAAGGCUCACCUAGGCGACGAUCUCUAGCUGGUCUGAGAGGAUGAUCAGCCACACGGGGACUGAGACACGGCCCAGACGCCUGCGGAGGCAGCAGUGGGGAAUAUUGCACAAUGGGUGAAAACCUGAUGCAGCCAUGCCGCGUGUAUGAAGAAGGCCUUGGGGUUGUAAAGUACUUUCAGCGGGGAGGCGGUACCCGCAGAAGAAGCACCGGCUAACUCCGUGCCAGCAGCCGCGGUAAUAC
rnacentral:rRNA from 1 species